CUUGCCCUGUCUUCAGACUGGGUGUUGAUGUCCAGAGCAAGCUGUGUAGAAGACAGCAGAUCCUCUGAGCCUGGCUCCAUGUACGAUUCUAUGGAGUACAGCUCUGUGAGCCCUGCCUCUCACUGGCUGGACUUUGUAAGGUAUCCAGAGGGAGAGAACUGGGGCCAUGGAACCCAGGGGAGAGGAGGGAACAUACAUUCUGAAAGCGCAUAAAAGAAAGCAACGAAAAUGAAAGGAUCUGGAACACAGCAUUGGAUCUAGUAGAUAGUAGGUACUCAAUUAAUAGUUGCCUCUUCUACUGUUCAUCAUCAAUUUAUUUUAUUAUUUUUUAAAAAUUAUUUUAUUGAAGUGCAGUUGAUUUAGAAUUUUGUGUUAGU